rnacentral:rRNA from 1 species
UACGAAGGGGGCUAGCGUUGCUCGGAAUCACUGGGCGUAAAGCGCACGUAGGCGGCUUUUUAAGUCAGGGGUGAAAUCCUGGAGCUCAACUCCAGAACUGCCUUUGAUACUGAGAAGCUUGAGUCCGGGAGAGGUGAGUGGAACUGCGAGUGUAGAGGUGAAAUUCGUAGAUAUUCGCAAGAACACCAGUGGCGAAGGCGGCUCACCUGGCCCGGUACUGACGCUGAGGUGCGAAAGCGUGGGGAGCAAACAGGG